GAAUCUGAAUUUUAAGCAAGCUAAAUCAUUAAAGAUAUAUAAGCCAAACAAUUGAUUGCAUGAUAUGAAGGCUUAUAUAAUUCCAAAUGAAAGGGGGAGCUUUAACUCCGAAAUUUAUUGUUCACACCUUUCAAGCUUGGAUAAAUUAAAUUACCAGACAUCUGAAUUCAUUUAUGGAUUUUACUUCCUUGUUUAUAGAGCAAUUCACUUUACAUAUACUCAAUGUUUUGUCAUCAUCAAAAAGGGAGAGAUUGUGGAGUGAUUGAUUAAAAUCCUAUUUGAUUUUGAUGAGCUCAAAGCAUUUGAGUAUAUCUCUUGUUUACUAAUGAAUUCAAUUAAGUGUUUCAGUGAAAAUUUUGUCUAAGUGUCUCUAGACUUGGUUCAUAAUAUUUUGGAUAAGUUAAGAAGUCAGCUUGAACCAAAGUCUGAGACUCGAGUCGACUCCAGAGUAUCACGAGUCGACUCCAAGCGUAUCAAGUUCACUGGCACGAGCUCGAGUCGACUUCGGAUCAGUACGAGUCGACUCCGACUGAGAACAGACAGACGAACAGAAAGCAUCAACUCAAAACCUGUCAGCGAGUCGACUCCUGAACUGCGCGAGUCGACUCCGAUAUUCACCGAGUCGACUCCAGGGUAGUAUGAGUCGACUCCUAGGAGUCACAGGCAGAAAAGUCAGAGAGCAGUUUUCGGGUCUGAGAUUCGAGUCGACUCCAGUGGAACGCGAGUCGACUCCGAUGGUUGGCAA
rnacentral:lncRNA from 1 species